rnacentral:rRNA from 1 species
UACGGAGGGUGCAAGCGUUAUCCGGAUUUACUGGGUUUAAAGGGUGCGUAGGAGGGCAGGUAAGUCAGUGGUGAAAUCUUCGAGCUUAACUCGGAAACUGCCGUUGAUACUAUCUGUCUUGAAUACCGUGGAGAUGAGCGGAAUAUGUCAUGUAGCGGUGAAACGCUUAGAUAUGACAUAGAACACCAAUUGCGAAGGCAGCUCGUUACACGAAUAUUGACUCUGAGGCACGAAAGCGUGGGGAUCAAACAGG